AAUGUAAAGCUCCCGAGAAUGCUCUGUGAGGACCUGUAAAUCUCCUCUGGCCUCCAGACCUCCCACAUCUCAAACCAUCCCAAAAUCUCUCCAUUUUGACAGCUGUUAAUCAUCACGUCUACUUGUUAUUCUCCUUCCUUCACUCUCUCCAAUUGUAAUAUUCUUACCUUUUUCUAUCCAACCUAGGCAUUUAUAUCCCGAACCAGCUAUUCCUAAGCAGCGAGAUCUCAGUCAUCAAGAGCAGCAAGUGGAAGAGCAGACUCCUGG
rnacentral:lncRNA from 1 species